rnacentral:rRNA from 1 species
CAGUUUAGUACGUUAGCUGUCAGAAGAAGCACCGGCUAACUCCGUGCCAGCAGCCGGCGGUUAAUACGGAGGGUUGCGAGCGUUUAAUCGGAAUUACUGGGGCGUAAAGCGCAUGCAGGUGGUUUGUUAAGUCAGAUGUGAAAGCCCGGGGCUCAACCUCGGAAUUGCAUUUGAAACUGGCAAACUAGAGUACUGUAGAGGGGGGUAGAAUUUCAGGUGUAGCGGUGAAAUGCGUAGAGAUCUGAAGGAAUACCGGUGGCGAAGGCGGCCCCCCUGGACAGAUACUGACACUCGUAGAUGACGAAAGCGGUGGGGAGACAAACAGGAUUAGAUACCCUGGUAG